AAGUGUUUUGCACCGGGUAGUUUAAAGUUAUAUUGUGAGUGUUAAAUUGAGACCAAUCAAUCCGCGUAUAAUUGACGUGUCGAUUUUUUUUAAAUUUUAGGACACAUUUUGAGAUUCUAAUACAGAUCGCUCGUAGCGUUUCGAAUCCAGUGGUAGAUAACGAGAUGGGUGGUCUAUAACGCGGAACUAAAAAUAGAAUAUCUGUCGAAGUGUCACGACUUAUUCCGGAAUCAAACUCACGGUCAGAUCAACCGGAAACUGAAUGUUUAACGUGUAAUUACAAGCACGGAAAACGCUUCUAUGGAAUGGACAUUUAAGGAUCUCGACUAGGAAACAAUAGUUAAUUAAGAUACAUGGUCGAAGGUAAUUGUUCGACAUCUUUUCACUUCAAUGUGUGAACACUAAAUCAUUGGACUUUCACAUGUCCCAGAGAGACAAAGGUGGUCAUCGCUUCAUUCUUGACCGUUACAACAACAACAACAACAACAACAACUUUUAUUAGCAUAUAAGCAUAAUACAAUGCUUUUUUGCCAACCUUACCGCGCGUUAAUAUCAUAAAGAUUAGCCCGGCCAUUCACGUGAAAUACAGAAAACAUGACCUUGCUUACUCUUAGAUAAUUAUUGAUCCCUGCACAUUUUGUUUUCCUGCACGAGUAUGUUGCACGAAUUUUAAAUAUUAUAUGAAUGUAUGUAUCAUUAUAUGGCAAUAAUGAAAUGUAUGCACAACAACAAAACUGUGAUGUGUAACUGAAGCUGAAAUUAUACUGCUCUCUUUUCUCCAUCUUGAUAUCGAAUACGUUUUGAUAAAACGGGUGGGAAAUGUUACUCUUGGCGGUAGUUUCCUUCAGCGCUAAGGUGAUGGUGUUAACAAUAAUUCGCAUUCUUUUUUUAAUGAAUGAGAGCACAUAUAAAAUAUAAAAUGUGAAUUCGUUUUGUGAAUGAUUGGUUUACAGGAAUUAAUCAAUCAUCCGCUGUACCGAGUAACUGCAGUUCGUACAUCAAAGAAACAAGAAAUAACAACAUCUUUAUUUCAAUUUGUCAGACAAGUUUCAAUAGUCUUCGUUGAUUCCCCAUUAAAAAGUCAUAGAUUCAUCGUUACAAUGAUAUGACAUAAAAUGGGUCUUAUUCCAGAUGCGUCCAGCUCAGCUCUUGAGCGGUCUGUGCAUUAACGCUGUCUGGUCAGGAGCUACCCUUUCCGCUAAUGAGACCAUAAAACCUUGCCUGACUUUAUAGAGAACAGGGAAGCUCCUUUCCAGACUGCACUGCGAAGCUGGUCUGGAGCUACGCUGGUCGCAUAUGGCGUGAGAUUAAUUUUCGAACGAUGGGGCUCGUAUAUAAUAAAAGGUGCUUUUCUCGACUAGAUAUUUAUAUAUAUUUAAAAGGACAUUU